ACGGGGGGUGCAAGCGUUGUUCGGAAUUAUUGGGCGUAAAGCGCGUGUAGGCGGUUUGUUAAGUCUGAUGUGAAAGCCCCGGGCUCAACCUGGGAAGUGCAUUGGAAACUGGCAGACUUGAAUACGGGAGAGGGUAGUGGAAUUCCUGGUGUAGGGGUGAAAUCCGUAGAUAUCGGGAGGAACACCGAUGGCGAAGGCGGCUGACUGGACCGAUAUUGACGCUGAGGCGCGAAAGCUUGGGGAUCAAACAG
rnacentral:rRNA from 1 species